GGUUUGUUUUCAUAGCAGUGACUGAAAGCUGGGCUUUGUUUUCGUAACAUUUGUGGCGGAAAUCUUGUUCUCACUGCCAUAUGCGAUUCGGAUUGUUAUUGAGCAUCUGCUCAAAAUGCCACACAAGUGCUGUAUGCCCUAUUGUAGGGGAAACUACGACAACGGUUUAAAAGUUAGCGUCUUUUCAUUCCCGUCUGAUGAAGCAUUAAGAUUGAAACGGAUCGCUGCAGUUCAUAGGAAUGACUGGGAACCCAGUAAACAGUUCGUUAUAUGUGAACUGCAUUUCACUGCAGACGACAUUGAGAAAAUUACCAGUGCUUACGACCCAAAACUGGCAAACUCUUUACAGUUUACAGCACCUUUGGACCGUCCACGUUUAAAGAAACGUUCGUGAAAAUUGAUCGUAAAGGAUGCUGUACCAUCAAAGUUGCCAGGAUGACCUACGUCUUUAUCUUCAAAACAAGCACCAGCUCGAGAAGAUUCAGAGAGUCGCGAAUGUUUGAAGUACCAAGCACUUGAGAAAG